CUCUCACUGGUGAUCCACUAGGAUGAAGUACAGAUGGAAUGUGAAGCACUGGCUUGUGUAGUAAUGGUGGCCACUUAAUGGUAGAUACAGUAGUAAUUUUAAGAAUUAUGGGGUUCUACAACUUUUGUUCAAGGAAUUUGAUGCUUUGAAAAAAAAGAAAAGGAGAAGCUCAAGGAUCAAACGAGGACCUCAUGCUUGCCAGGCAGGUGCUACGCUGCUGAGCUACAUCCCUAGUCCAGAAACUUCUUAAUCUCCAGACUAGCAAAAGACUCUCUCCUCCUUGCUAGAAGACAGCCUACCCUCACUUGGAAACAGCAAUAAGUGACUUCCGCCAUUCCCUGAGCUGUUUCUCCUCUGCCAUGCCCCUCUGCCAUACCACCCUGCCUUGAAGCCAGCUGAGACUGUGGACUGAAACAUCUAUAAACUGUGGGCCAAAAUAAACC
rnacentral:lncRNA from 1 species